GGCCUUUCCCAGCCCACAAGAGCCCCCAUUCCCUCCACGCCCCACCCCAGCUUCCCGACGGUGGGGCCUGCUAAUGCUCUGAGGUCUCUGAGAGGGAAGACGCGGCAGAGGGCCAGGAAGGGUGGUCCUCCCAAGGCUCCCUGCAGGCCCCCAGCCUCAUCCUGCUCGUCCCCUGGGCAGGGAUGGGCUCAUUAGCCCUGGUCAGCGAGUCCCACCCAGCUCUGCUGCACCCACGUGGGAGGCUGGGGGCCUUCCUGCAUUUAAGCCAGCUCCGCCUCCCACUUCACAGAGGGAGGCCAGCCAAGGUUGGCUGGGGUCCUGGGGUCAGGCUCCCGAGGAGAGGGCAGUGAGGGGAGCCGCGCGCGAGUGAGGGGGCAGACACCGAGGGCUCGGGCCUGGCCAGAGACCUGCGCACGGACCGAGAGAGCUGCUGGGGCCUCCAGGGACCAGAGGCACAAGACUGACACCCUUCUUCGAGGAACAGCACCACGUCCAGGGGCAGGUGAGAGGCCUGACUUUACAAUCUGGGUGGAAAUGUGACAGCCUGGUGGUUGGGAACGGAUGCCCCGCCACCUGCUAGACCCAGGGGAAGCCCCUGCUCUGCUGGGGCAGCUGGGCAUCCUGAGCAGGUGUCUCAGCCUCUCUGAGCCCUCAUCUCCUAAGGAAAGCAGGGACCAUAAAGCGACCUCACAAGCACCUAAAGCCAUGGUGAGCGCAGGACAUUAACCCUGGUGCCUGCCACCUUGGAGGUGAUGGCAGAGCAGGGACAAGGGUGCCAAGGAGAGCAAAGUCUAAGGAGAAGACAUACCCCAUCGUGUGUUUUCAAAAAAGUAUCUGUGGACCAACCAGGCCGGGUCCUCUCACUCACAUAAGAGGAUACCUGCUUCCAAGUCCACGCACGCACGGCAGAAAUGCCUCCGGGGGACCCAGGGCACCCGGGCGGGCACAGGGGAACUUUCUUCCUUCACAUUCGCAUGGUUUACGGUGAGACUGAACUGGGCUCUGUGCGAUUUUUGCAAAGGUGAAUGUCCAAGGGGAGUGGGCCAAGGGCCAUGCUGUGAAGAC
rnacentral:lncRNA from 1 species